GAUGAACGCUGGCGGCGUGCCUAAUACAUGCAAGUCGAGCGAACGGACGAGAAGCUUGCUUCUCUGAUGUUAGCGGCGGACGGGUGUGUAACACGUGGAUCACCUACCUAUCAGACUGGGAUAACUUCGGGAAACCGGAGCUAAUCCCGGAUAAUAUUUUGAACCGCAUGGUUCAAAAGUGAAAGACGGUCUUGCUGUCACUUAUAGAUGGAUCCGCGCUGCAUUAGCUAGUUGGUAAGGUAACGGCUUACCAAGGCAACGAUGCAUAGCCGACCUGAGAGGGUGAUCGGCCACACUGGAACUGAGACACGGUCCAGACUCCUACGGGAGGCAGCAGUAGGGAAUCUUCCGCAAUGGGCGAAAGCCUGACGGAGCAACGCCGCGUGAGUGAUGAAGGUCUUCGGAUCGUAAAACUCUGUUAUUAGGGAAGAACAUAUGUGUAAGUAACUGUGCACAUCUUGACGGUACCUAAUCAGAAAGCCACGGCUAACUACGUG
rnacentral:rRNA from 1 species